UACGUAGGGGGCGAGCGUUAUCCGGAUUUACUGGGUGUAAAGGGAGCGUAGACGGCGUCGCAAGUCUGAAGUGAAAGCCCGUGGCUCAACCGCGGAACCGCUUUGGAAACUGCGAGGCUGGAGUGCUGGAGAGGUAAGCGGAAUUCCUGGUGUAGCGGUGAAAUGCGUAGAUAUCAGGAGGAACACCGGUGGCGAAGGCGGCUUACUGGACAGUGACUGACGUUGAGGCUCGAAAGCGUGGGGAGCGAACA
rnacentral:rRNA from 1 species